ACUACUCGGGCAGACGCUCCCUGCCACAC
rnacentral:sRNA from 1 species